rnacentral:rRNA from 1 species
AGCUCCAAUAGCGUAUAUUAAAGUUGUUGCAGUUAAAAAGCUCGUAGUUGGAUUUCGGGUUGUGCCGGCCGGUCCGCCCAUGUGGUGUGCACUGGCCGGCGCUUCCUUCCGUCUGGAGGCCGUCACUUCCCUUAACUGGGCGGUGCCGGGGUUCAGAUCGUUUACUUUGAAAAAAUUAGAGUGUUUAAAGCAGGCUAUUGCUCUGAAUACAUUAGCAUGGAAUAAUGGAAUAGGACUUUGGUCCUAUUUUGUUGGUUUUCGGGACCGAAGUAAUGAUUAAUAGGGACAGUUGGGGGCAUUCGUAUUUAAUUGUCAGAGGUGAAAUUCUUGGAUUUAUGAAAGACGAACUUCUGCGAAAGCAUCUGCCAAGGAUGUUUUCA